GGUCAUGAGUGACAGCGACAAGCCCUGGCUCGCUGUCCGGCAACCCUCCUCCGCGGCGGGGUGCCCCAGGUGAAGACCCGGCCGGACGAAAACGUCCGGCAAGCGCGGAUC
rnacentral:ncRNA from 2 species